rnacentral:rRNA from 1 species
AAUUUUGGACGAUGGGGGAAACCCUGAUCCAGCCAUCCUGCGUGUAUGAUGCAGGACNNNGGGUUNUNAAGUACUUUUGGCAGNGANNAAAAGGUAUCUCCUAAUACGAGAUACUGCUGACGGUAUCUGCAGAAUAAGCACCGGCUAACUACGUGCCAGCAGUCGCGGUAAUACGUAGGGUGAAAGCGUUAAUCGGAAUUACUGGGCCCAAAGCGUGUGUAGGCGGUUCGGAAAGAAAGAUGUGAAAUCCCAGGGCUCAACCUUGGAACUGCAUUUUUAACUGCCGAGCUAGAGUAUGUCAGAGGGGGGUAGAAUUCCACGUGUAGCAGUGAGAUGCGUAGAUAUGUGGAGGAAUACCGAUGGCGAAGGCAGCCCCCUGGGAUAAUACUGACGCUCAGACACGAAAGCGUGGGGAGCAAAC